GCUAACUUCGUGCCAGCAGCCGCGGUAAUACGAAGGGACCUAGCGUAGUUCGGAAUUACUGGGCUUAAAGAGCACGUAGGUGGUUAAGAAAGUUGGUGGUGAAAUCCCGAGGCUUAACCUUGGAACUGCCACCAAAACUUUUUAACUAGAGUAUGAUUGAGGUAAGCGGAAUUUCUAGUGUAGAGGUGAAAUUCGUAGAUAUUAGAAAGAACACCAAUUGCGAAGGCAGCUUUCUGGAUCAUUACUGACACUGAGGUGCGAAAGCAUGGGUAGCGAAGAGGAUUAGAUACCCUCGUAGUCCAUGCCGUAAACGAUGUGUGCUAGACGUUGGGAAUUUAUUUUUCAGUGUCGCAGCAAAAGCGUUAAGCACACCGCCUGGGGAGUACGACCGCAAGGUUAAAACUCAAAUGAAUUGACGGGGACCCGCACAAGUAGUGGAGCAUGUGGUUUAAUUCGAAGAUACGCGCAGAACCUUACCAACACUUGACAUGUUCGUCGCGACUCUAAGAGAUUAGAGUUUUCGGUUCGGCCGGACGAAACACAGGUGCUGCAUGGCUGUCGUCAGCUCGUGUCGUGAGAUGUUGGGUUAAGUCCCGCAACGAGCGCAACCCUUACUUUUAGUUGCUACCAUUUAGUUGGGCACUCUAGAAGAACUGCCGGUGAUAAGCUGGAGGAAGGUGGGGAUGACGUCAAGUCCUCAUGGCCCUUAUGUGUUGGGCUACACACGUGCUACAAUGGUAUUUACAGUGGGAUGCAAAGAGGCAACUCCUAGCCAACCCUCAAAGAAUACCUCAGUUCGGAUUGUACUCUGCAACUCGAGUACAUGAAGCUGGAAUUACUAGUAAUCGCGGAUCAGCGCGCCGCGGUGAAUACGUUCCCGGGUCUUGUACACACCGCCCGUCACACCAUGGAAGUUGGUUACACCUUAAGGCAAAGUGUAAA
rnacentral:rRNA from 1 species